UACAGAGGGGGCAAGCGUUGUUCGGAAUUACUGGGCGUAAAGCGUGCGUAGACGGUAGCGUAAGUCGGGUGUGAAAGCCCCGGGCUCAACCUGGGAAUUGCAUUCGAGACUGCUCUGCUAGGGUGCGGAAGAGGGAAGCGGAAUUUCCGGUGUAGCGGUGAAAUGCGUAGAUAUCGGAAGGAACACCAGUGGCGAAAGCGGCUUCCUGGUCCAGCACCGACGUUCAGGCACGAAAGCGUGGGGAGCAAACAGG
rnacentral:rRNA from 1 species